UUUAAUUUGGAGUCAUACUACCCAUAUCUCCUUUGAGUUAUCAUAUAUUGUUGCUCCUAUUACUAUUGUUUGCUGUUCUAAUUUAUUUGCAAUAUAUUACUGAUUUAUUACUAUUAUUAUUAUUAUUAUUAUUAUUAUUAUUAUUAUUAUUAUUAUUUUGUUUGUUUGUUACAUUUAUUUGUUGAGUUUUAGUUUAAGCUGUCUCUAUCAAAUAAUUAUGUGAGGUCAUGUCCUUCUGAUUUAGGGGCGGGCAGGCAUAGGGGGGUUAAUGCUAGAGUAAAGAGAACCUUUAGGCUUAGAUUCGGGAGUUGGAAUGUAGGCACCCUUAAGGGAAAGUUUUUAGAGCUAGGAGAUGCCCUGUCUAGAUGUAAUGUAGACAUUGCAUGCUUUCAAGAAACUAGGUGGACGGGGAAAAGUACUAGAGAGGAGAACGGAUACAAGCUAUGGUACUCUGGAGUGCCUAAGUCGAUUAACGGAGUAGGGAUCAUCAUGACCGAACGACUUAAAGAUUUCAUUGUGCAAGUGGAAAGACACGGGGAUAGGUUGAUGUUGGUGAGAUUGGUGAUACAAGAGGAGACAAUAAACGUGAUCAGCGCGUAUGCUCCCCAGUCGGGCCAGAGAGCGGGAGAGAAGAAAAGUUUUUGGGACUUUCUCGAUGAACUUGUGAGGAGUUGCCCUGUUGACCAACGACUAGUGUUAGGAGGAGACUUAAACGGGCAUAUAGGAGUAGAGUCAGACGGCUACGCGGGUGUACACGGCUACGCGGGUGUACACGAGGGAUUAGGCUUUGGAGUGAGGAACGAUGAGGGUCGCACGAUAUUGGAGUUUGCUACUCCACAUGAUCUGGUUAUUGCAAACUCGUUUUUCCGAAAGAGGAAUUUUCAGCUGAUUACCUUUCAAAGUGGCCUAAAUAAGACUCAAAUCGACUACUUCUUGGUGCGUAAAGGCGACUUUAGGGCUUGCAAAGAUUGCAAGGUACUUCCGAGAGAGGCGGGCUACUCCUAACAUAGACUGUUGGUAAUAGAUUUGUUCCUGAGUAGAAGUAAAAUGAAGACAGGGAAGGCUGUAAAGCCAAGAAUCCUCUGGAAAAACCUAAUGGGUGAAGCAGCAGAGACGUUUAGGUCGACGAUUAGCUCGAGGUUCACAAGGGAGAUAAAGAACGGUUCGCAUAUGGGAGCUGACGAGUUAUGGACACUCUUGGCAGAGGGUAUGAGGGAGACGGCAAAGGAGGUUCUAGGGGUAACUAGAGGAACUGGACGACAAUGGAGAAUGGGUAGGGAAUCUUGGUGGAUUAGUGAAGAGGUCCAGUCCAAGGUCGCGGCAAAACUUAGUUGCUUUAAGGAUCUUGUCUAAAGCCGCCAGAACGGGACAAAUGAAGACUGGUCUUUGGCUAGGCAGAGGUACUACGAAGCCAAGAAAGAAGCAAAGAGGACGGUUGCUAUAGCAAAAGAAAGAGCGUACGAAGAAUUGUACAAGAAACUAGAUUCCAAAGAAGGCGAAAACAAAAUCUUCAGAAUCGCUAAAGCAAGGGAGAAAAGACGUAGGGAUUUAGGAGAUGUCAUUUAUAUCAAAGACGAAAGUGGACGGAGCAUUGUGAAGGAGGGAGACAUUAGGAAAAGAUGGGAAGAGUACUUCGCCAACCUGUUUAAUGGGAGAAGGUCGGGGAGAGUUCAAGGAGGAGAAGACCUCACCGCACACUCAAACACACGCUACGACGACGAUGAUGCUACGAGGAUCAGCCAAGAAGAAGUAAGGGUCCCCCUAAAGAAGAUGGGGAGAAACAAAGCAGUAGGUCCAAACCGAAUUCCGGUUAAGGCAUGGAGAUGCCUGGGGGACGUGGGGAUAAGCUUGCUGACAAGCCUCUUCAACAAGAUUUGGACGAGUGCAAAAAUGCCAGAAGAAUGGAGACUUAGUGAGGUUAUACCUAUCUAUAAGAACAAGGGGGACGUGCAGAGUUGUAGCAACUAUAGGGGCAUUAAACUCCUUAGUCAUACCAUGAAGCUCUGGGAGAGAGUGAUCGAGACGAGGCUCAGAAGAGUUACGAAGGUGGCAGAGAACCAAUUUGGGUUUAUGCCAGGGAGGUCGUCGAUGGAGGCUAUCCAUAUCACCAGAAGCCUUAUGGAAAAGUAUAGGGAAAGACAAAAAGCGUUACAUUGUGCCUUCCUAGAUUUGGAUAAGGCGUACGAUAGUGUACCACGAGAGCUGAUCUGGAGGACGCUCCAAGCGAAAGGAGUUACUGGGAGAUACAUUAGUGUUAUCAGGGAUAUGUACGAUAGGGCGAGGACCGGUGUCCGAACACCGGUGGGGAGCACAGAGCUUUUCUCGGUAGAAUUGGGCCUUCACCAGGGCUCGGCGCUUAGUCCUUACCUUUUUACCUUGAUCUUAGACGAGUUGUCUAGUGGCCUACAGGAGGAACUACCGUGGUGCAUGAUUUUUGUAGAUGACAUUGCACUGAUUGCAAGAUCGACGGAGGAGUUAAACCGUAGGCUCGAGAAAUGGAGAGAAGCCCUUGAAGACAAUGGUUUGUGUGUGAGCCGAGAGAAGACUGAAUACCUACGAUGUGACUUCGAUAAACAGGAAAUAAGAUAAAAUGGGGAUGAGGAUAUUCGCAUCGGGGAGCGGAUAUUGGGUCCGAAGGUGUCUUUUAGAUACCUCGGAUCGGUGAUACACAAAUCGGGGGGGAUAGACGAAGACGUGACACAUCGAAUCCAAGCUGGAUGGAUGAGGUGGAGAUCAGCUUCUGGAGUCAUGUGCGACAAGCGGAUCUCGCUAAAACUGAAAGGCAAGUUUUACAGAGUGGCUAUUAGACCGACUAUGUUAUACGGGUCGGAAUGUUGGCCGAUGACGAAAGCCCAAGCGUCUCAAGUAGAGGUGGCAGAGAUGAGGAUGCUAAGGUGGUCUUGUGGGAAGACCCUAUCAGACAGGAUCCCCACGGGAGUUUUUAGAGCCGAACUUGAAGUAGGGACCAUCAUUAACAAGCUAAGAGAAGGGCGCUUGAGAUGGUUUGGCCAUGUUAGGAGAAGGGAUCGAACAGCACCAUUAAGGAGAGCGGAGUCUAUUCACGUCGAAGGCAUACGAAGAAGGGGAAGGCCGAAGAUGAGAUGGGAGGACCGAUUGGCGAAGGACCUAAUAGAGCUUGGUUUGUCGGAGGACAUGACGUCGGAUAGGACGGCCUGGAGAACUAGGAUUAGAGUAGAGGAUUAGGUUAGGGUAUGACUUUUGUGGGACUGCGAUUGACAUCUUUUUCCCAUAGUGCCUUGCCUAAGGUGGUUUGUGUUUGUUUGGCCGGGAGAAGUAGGCCCAAUAUAAGUGACUCUAGACAACAGAAGGCUUUGGGCUGACAGGAAAAGAGGUAGGUCGACGGAGGUGGAAGGUCAGAAUACCGAAGGAUAUGAAGGAGUUUUCUGGUGGAGGAGGUGGAUAGUGAGUGUAAGGCAUAUGGGAAUAGGUUUUUGUAUACUUUUUUUUCCUUAGACUUUGGUUCUCAGUAACCUCCGUAGUGGUUUUGACCUGAGUAGAGGGAGGCCAAAAUCGAGGGGGGAGGUUACUCUUGGCUGCCCCUAAAUGCUUUGCCCGUUGGAGGACAUGACCGAUGAGAGUUUAUUAGAGGACUAGGACUAGUUUAGGGGUUUGGGAGCUUGGGAGAAGGCUAGGUUUAGUCUAAGUUAAUGUCUAGCUAGGCGGCUUAGUUAGUGUGUUUCAUAGGUUGCGCACCACCCGUUAUUUUCCUUGGACUUAUCGGGCACUAGGUUUUCUUAGUUCAUUCCCUAUAUGUAGGUAGGUUUGGGAUUUAUGCUGAAACACUUUUAAAUUUGUCUACGUUAUACAUGGUUGUUAUUAUAUGUGUUUUGAUGAGUGCUUUUAGUUACACUUUUAGGGCGUUUGACGCUACUUUUCUUUUAUGUUCUCGGGUGUUCUCAGUAGACGGUGUCUAGAGGACUAGGUGUAUAGGUUACCUGUGUCGUUUUGGAGCGUUUUAGCGAGUAGACUAGGAUUAGUUUGGCUUUGCGGCCCUUAGUGUUUAGUCAUUUCUUACAUAUAGGUAUGGUUGUCCUGGUGGUUUGUACCUCUUGUUUGAGAUCCUUGCUGAAGACUUUGUGUAUUAUGUUCUUUCAUUUUAUGUUGUUUUUUGCGUAUUAUGGUUCCUAGAUUUUACGUACUGUGCUUAGGUACUUUUAGGCCGUACGUUUGCUACUAUUCCCUACUCUUAAUAUAGCCAUACCCAGCGGACAUGUAUAUCGUCUUGGCAUUUUCUCGGCAGACAG